AACGAACGCUGGCGGCACGCCUAACACAUGCAAGUCGAACGAGACCUUCGGGUCUAGUGGCGCACGGGUGCGUAACGCGUGGGAACCUGCCCUUAGGUUCGGAAUAACUCCCCGAAAGGGGUGCUAAUACCGGAUAAUGUCUUCGGACCAAAGAUUUAUCGCCUUUGGAUGGGCCCGCGUUGGAUUAGCUAGUUGGUAGGGUAAAAGCCUACCAAGGCGACGAUCCAUAGCUGGUCUGAGAGGAUGAUCAGCCACACUGGGACUGAGACACGGCCCAGACUCCUACGGGAGGCAGCAGUGGGGAAUAUUGGACAAUGGGCGAAAGCCUGAUCCAGCAAUGCCGCGUGAGUGAUGAAGGCCUUAGGGUUGUAAAGCUCUUUUACCCGGGAUGAUAAUGACAGUACCGGGAGAAUAAGCACCGGCUAACUCCGUG
rnacentral:rRNA from 1 species